AAUGUGUUUCUUUCAUGUGCAAACUUCAAAGAAAAUACAUGUCAAUCAUUUGGAAAUCACUGUUUGGUGGAAUUCUAUAAUGUACUGUCCAGUUAAUUUGUUUGACCUUUUGAGUUCGUGUAAAUUGCAGUAACCUGGUUUUGUUUAGCCAAUGAGAAGCUUUGCUAAGUUUUGGGGAAAAUUGUGUGAACUCUGGGUUUACUUUGCACAGGACUUUUGGGGCUCUCAGGCUCGUGAUGCUGCUCGAGAUGGAAGGAGAAGAGAGACAACACUGUUGUUGAGUUUACACUUUUACAUCUGUGAACAUACAACACUGUUGCUUAAUCUUGCUGCUUGAGUAACAUUGGGUUCCCAUUCAUUGCUGAGUCAUUCGUCUUAGUUGCGCUCCCAACACGUGCCGACGUUAGUUCGCAAGACUGAGUUUUAAGAGUACACAAGGUUUGAUUUGUAUUACUUUAAAUUGCGACUGUGUUAUGUUAGAGAUCACUAUACUAUUAAUACAUUUUUAGUCAAAUUGCAUUCCAUGUGUUGUGUUUUCCAUAAGUCAUUGUUAUUGCAUGGGCUGGGAGAACAGUCUGAAAACAGUAACCUAAGCCUUUAUAUAUCUAUUAGUAAUAUCCCUCUCGUUUUUCCUAGAGUGAAUCAAUAUCAUUCAAGUUCAUUUACUGAGAUGUAGGGCCGUGAUGGUCAUGAAAUUUUGGACGGUGGUAAUUGGCCAUCCAAAUGACUGCGGUCUACGUAAUAACCGUUGGCAUAGCAAAACGACGGUCUUCAUCCAUAAACAUUGGUUACACAGAUAUACGGUGAUUGUGUCAGCCCUACUGAGAUGUAAUUUUCACCAUUAUUCCCAUGCUGGUUCACCCGAGCCUUGUGGUGAGGGGGCUACACACACAAAUGCACACACACACACGCACACACACAGGCAUGCAUGUUCACACACACAGUAUACACAAAACCUAGCAUACACUAUCACGCCUAUAACACCUGAUGGAAAUGCCACUCUUGAUCUCCCUAUCUGGUGGAAAUAAAUUAAGAAAAACAUCCCCAGUGCAAGGGUCCUGAUAAGGACCGCUCCCUCCCUCUAUGGGCAACCUGUUGCCUGUCGGCAUUUCCCAGUCACAGACAGAUCUGCACGGAUAAAAACCUCUUCAUGUUCUCACACACAGACACGCACGGCUCAGGAAUGUUCCAACCAGCAUUUCUGAGAAAACGUGUGGAUUUUGGGAAAGAUACAGUAGUGGGUAGUGCAUGCGGCCAAGCUCCCUGCCAUCCAGGACCUCUAUACCAGAUGGGGUCAGAGGAAGGCCCUCAACAUUUUCAAAGACUCCAGCCACCCAAGUCAAGUCAUAGACUGUUUUCUAAGUUACAGCACAGCAAGAGGUACUGGAGUGCCAGAUCUGAGCUAAUGUUAGCUGGCCAACAUUAAACAUAGCUUGCUAACUAAUGUUAGUUAUUUGGUAUCCAUGCCAGCUAACGUUAUGAAUCAUAUCUCAUUUUGUCAGAAAUUCAUUUGCAUUGUGUCUCGCCUUGGUCAUUGUAUUUUGUGUUUUCGUUAUAUAUUUGGUCAGGCCAGGGUGUGACAUGGGUUUAUGUUAUUGUAUUCUCGUAUUGGGGUUUGUAGUAUUUGGGAUCGCGGCUGAUUAG